UACGUAGGUGGCAAGCGUUGUCCGGAUUUCUUGGGUUUAAAGGGUGCGUAGGCGGUUGAUUAAGUCAGUUGUGAAAUACGGCAGCUUAACUGUCGAGGUGCAAUUGAUACUGGUUGACUUGAGUACAGACGAGGUAGGCGGAAUUGACGGUGUAGCGGUGAAAUGCAUAGAUAUCGUCAAGAACACCGAUAGCGAAGGCAGCUUACUAGACUGUAACUGACGCUGAGGCACGAAAGUGUGGGGAUCAAACAGG
rnacentral:rRNA from 1 species